rnacentral:rRNA from 1 species
CCCAGUCCAGAUCGCAGUCUGCAACCCGACUGCGUGAAGUCGGAAUCGCUAGUAAUCGCGGAUCAGCAUGCCGCGGUGAAUACGUUCCCGGGCCUUGUACACACCGCCCGUCACACCAUGAGAGUCGGGAACACCCGAAGUCCGUAGCCUAACCGCAAGGAGGGCGCGGCCGAAGGUGGGUUCGAUAAUUGGGGUGAAGUCGUAACAAGGUAUC